CAGUAGGUAGUUUAUUUAAAAUAUUAAUUUUGGAGAUUAAAGAAAGCUUUAUUUGUUUUUACUGA
rnacentral:tRNA from 1 species